UGAUGUUUCCUACAAUAACUUUUCAUGGCUGCCAAGCUGUCGCGAUGCCCUGCGUAUAAACACGUACAGGAGUUCAUUCAUCAAGAAUAACUUAAGCGGACUUCUUCCAUGCUCAAGCAUACAUGAGUGCCCCAAAAGUAUGAUAUUCCUUUCCCUCCUUAAAUGAGAAGUAACGAAGUUCUUUAAAAUCAAAGCACAUCUGUUUCAAAUUUAUCAACAUACCGAAAUCAGUAAUCUACGAUAAUAUCAGUGUCUGUGUAUUUAUUUGAGCACGAGUACUAAUUUCAAUGUAGAUUUUUUUGCCUUAAUUCUACAUUCUAUUCUGCACACAGAUUUAUUAAGGAUGUAUUCAUUCUCAGUUUCGUUGGACAAGUAAGGAUUUAUCUGUAACCAAAA